AAAAAACAUAGUAUAUAUAGGGUUUGGUACCCUCCCUGGUUUCAGGCAUCCACUGGACGAGGGAGACUGCUUUACUACUGAAACUGUGGCCUUGUUUACAUGAGGACUAAGAAUCCACUCCAUUCUGUUCACCAUGACGAAUCAUUCUGACUGUCCAAUGGCUAAAAUUCUGCUAAGCCUCACAAUUAUGCAACAGUUACAAAGGCUUGUCAGAUGUUAGGAAGCAGAGAAAUUGCUCUCUCAGCAAAUUUUCCAAUACUCUAUGCCAUUAAAAAUUCUGCUCUCUUUUUCCGAAUCACCCUCUCUUAUCACUUGUCUGCUAGCUUAACUGCUUUCUACUUUUCAAAUUCAGCUGCAUUGCAUUUUUGAGGCAGACUUUGUACCUACAUCAUCCUAGUAUUCUGAUCGCUCAGUGUCCUCAGGAACAAGAAAGAAGAAGACAGCGCCAUGUGUGGCAUGAGACAAAAUGAAGCUGAAGUCCUAAGUCUUUCUCUUAUCGUCUGUGAAAGUUAAGGCGCUCCAUCACCAAGGCAACAAGACGUGGAGCAUGAGCAGUUCAACCUUUGCAGAUAACCCAGAUUUAAUUGGCCAGUCUCCACUCUGUGUGUGCAGUGUUAACAAUGACGGGAAGCACAACAGUGAAAGUAAUAAACCAGUUUGCUGCCUUCUCCCCUGCGUCACAGAUGGACAAACUCCCUUAGGACACUCGUGUGAUGGGAUCCUGCAAUGGAGGAUUGGGAAGAGCACCUUCACCAAAGUGUUUUGUAGAGGUGGAAGGAACACUGAAAUUACUAAAGGUUUCACCAGCUAACACCCACCAGGACUGCAGUAUGCUUAUGUUAGCACAGAAAAUGAUUUUCACCAGAUCAUCAGUUUGCAAAAUAUUGUUAAAGGAACUGCUAACAGGCAGUUGUGGUGUCACAGAGAAGACCCUGGAUCUGGAAUCUCAUUUCAUUCCGACACAUAUUUAUUGAAGGCCUGCUGCUGGCUCGGCCUCUCUUUCGCCCCGGGGAUGCAUCAGUGAGUGAAGCAGACAGAUUUCCGUCCUUGUGGAGAUUUCCUUCUGGUAGAGUUAGGGAGACAAAAUUAAUAAUAAACAAAAUGAAUGAGCAAAUUGUGUAGUAUAU
rnacentral:lncRNA from 1 species